GCCCAAAUUCUGGCCCGACAAAAAUUCACUUGCAAAGAGCAUCUUGUACGCAAGACUGCACUGUAACACUGACAAUACACAACGCAGUAAUAUAGCAGGAAGAAAACGUUGUUAGGUUACACUAAAGAAGCAGAUUAGCUUAGCUAAGAAGAAAAUGGAGACAGAAUUGAAAGCUCUCGAGUCUCUGAAGCACUCAUAGACUGAUCCUUCCUAUCACGCUUCAGUCGAUACGGUAUACACACAUACACAAUGCAUUUUCUGCCUAUACUGAACCUAAUCGCCGUUCUCCAACAAGCUUUAGUUUAAUGUGGCCUGCAUGAAAUGGGCGUCCUCUCUGUGUGUGUUUGCGUCUCUCUAUCAGACCUGCUGUGACUGAGGUGCUAGGUCUGCAUUCUUUCUCCAGUCAAAACCAUCAAUUGUUCUGUUAGCCUUUUUCUAGUUAAAGAAGCCGCAAGCGCACCUAAGACCAUUGCUGCAGCAAAAGAGGGAGCUCUCUCCAGAAUUCAUACAGCUUCUCUACAGGUUGGCGUGGAGAUGGCCGAGUUGGUCUAAGGCGCCAGAUUAAGGUUCUGGUCCGAAAGGGCGUGGGUUCAAAUCCCACUCUCCACAUUGCUUUUUUCAAACUUAAACUCUGAAUUCAUCCUGAGCUUUGACCAAUUUAAUUAAAGCUAUGUAUGAUAUCUAUUGUUACGUAGCUUAGGAUCUCUUAUACUUAUCAUCUAUUCUUGAAGCUUUAAACUUUAUUUAUAGAUCAGUACUCAAUGAAUUGUAAAGUUCUUGCAUAAUAACAAAGAAAAGGGCCC